CUCCAAAAAGCGAAAAAAUGGCGAUAACUUGAUCGUUUUCAUAGAUAUAUCAAUUUAACUUGUGAAUUCGGAUUCCUGGGCUCAAAGUCCAUAGACAAACUCAAACUUGGUGUUUUUCAGCCCGAAAAAUGUGCAAAGACUACAGUCUUUGGUGAUUUUCACCUCGACAUCCCAAAGAAUCACCCCGAAAAUUAGCAAAGACUUUGAAAAAAGAAAAAUGGAAAAUUCCGAGUAAUCUCGAAACAGUCAAUUGCGAACGUGUAAUUCGGUAUUCGUUCGUUGGAGCGCCUCGUACGUAGAUCCUCCUUUUCCGAGGCAACGGCAGUGUGACCGCGGUAGCCGAAGCGCGUGGUCAUCGGGAGCGACAUCGAUGGUAGCGCGUACGUACACAUCCUUUGAGAAGAGAUAGAAGAAGCCAACGAGGAGAGAGAGACAUAUAUUUUUGGGUGAGGAUUAGCAAUGGAAUAGUACGCAGUUACUACAGCGCCAUAAAUUUUAUUGACGAGUCCGGUGUCCAGUUUUGAUCCGACCGUGACUCGGGAAGUAGUGUUUCGGUUGAUCUACAUAUUUUGAAAAAGUGCUUGACAAUCGGUAGCUAGUGAAAAAACUAUAUCAGUGGAAAUUUUGUGAAUUCCGUAACUCGAAGAAUUUCCCAUAAUCACUGAUUCAUACUUGACAGACGUCGAAGGUGCCUGGUUCUUCCCAAUACGGUUCAACUCUGAAUUACUAUCCCAACGUUGUGCUGAAAAAUUCGUAUAAGGUCUCACGUCUUGGAUACAACGGCAGUUCAGCUCCAGCGACAAAAGCGGCGACUCCAGGAUCGACAUCAGCAGCAACGCAGUCUCCUCAGAGCGACGAUGGAGAGAGGCAACGGACGCAGUUCCUCCAACGUCAUUGACCGGACUCCCCCUGUUCAUCAGGGGGAGUCCACCGUCCCCUGGGACUGCGCGGUCUCCCACCGCCCCCGGGGUCCC